GGGAUCAUUUUGUGUUACUAGUGGACAGGUUGUUGACUGAAUCCACAUUGGAAGCUGCAAUCGAAAGCACGAACCGGUCCUUGCAUGCCACAGCAUUGCAUUUGAUGACACAAAUGUAUUCAAUCCUUCUCCGAAGCCGAAAUCGUCGACCCCGGGGAAAAUCGUCGAGUGUCGGAUAUGUCAGGAUGAAGAUGAAGAUUCAAGCAUGGAGACCCCUUGUUCUUGUUCUGGCAGCUUGAAGUAUGCUCAUCGCAGAUGUAUACAAGAUGGUGCAAUGAAAAGGGCAACAUUACCUGUGAAAUAUGCCUUCAGCAUUUAAGCCAGGCUACACCGCACCACCUCCCUUGUUUCAUAUCGGGCGUAUUCCGAUGAAUUUCAGG